AUUACCCCUCGGCUCGCCUCCUUCCGGUCUUCCCGACCUCUCUCGCUCAUUUGGAAGGAGCAACGGUGCCCCUGCUGGACCGUAGGAUAGCUUGUCGCUUGCUUAAAUGUUAAGAUCGGGCUGAGGCAGUGGAAAGCUAAAAGAUUUUGGGCAGAUCUUUAUUAGUAUAUAUGUUUUUGUUGUAUAAGUACACUCGGCAUCUAAUGAAAUGUUGACGAUGGAUCUAAACUUGUGGAUGUGGUAUAAGUUUAAAGGACCUCUCAUGUUUAGGAUUCUGGAAUGUUAAGUUUAAUUUGUGUAACGAUAUGAACUUAUGGUAAACGUUGGUUUUGUGACUAUAUAGACUCCCACACUUGUGAAUUUAUGUUGUGGUUAUUAAUUUGAUGAGUUGGGUUCAUAUUUUAUGAA